rnacentral:snRNA from 1 species
GUUUCCUCUAUGUAUUAAUCGGAUUUUUGAACUUGGAGUAUGGUGCUGGAGCUUGCUCCACCCUGCUCACGGGUUGUCCUGGUAUUGCAGUACCUCCAGGUUCGGCUCACGUUUC